GAUUCGAGAAGAACCUUACCACGACAUCACAUCCUUAUGAUGUAGUCGUAAUGGUUUAUUUCCUUCGUGGCUUAGGAGACAGGUGGUGCAUGGUCGUCGUCAGCUUGGUUCGUGUAGAGGUUGGGUUAAGUGGCGCAAGGAGCGCAACGCCUUGCUUACUAGUAGCCUUCAGGUAGAUUUGGGCACUCUAGUGAGACUGCCGUGGAAAACACGGAGGAAGGUGGAGGAUGACGUCAAAUCAUCAUGCCCUUUAUGUCUUGGGCAACACACGUGCUACAAUGGACGUAACAAAGAGAAGCAAAGCCGCGAGGUGGAGCAAAACUCAAAAAAGCAGUCUCAGUUCGGAUUGUAGUCUGAAACUCGACUACAUGAAGUUGGAAUCGCUAGUAAUCUCGGAUCAGAAUGCCGAGGUGAAUACGUUCCCGGGCCUUGUACACACCGCCCGUCACACCAUGAGAGGUCAGAGCGCCAGAAGCCUGUGGUCUAACUACGGAGGAAGCAGUCGAAGGUAAUAUGAGUGACUAGGGUGAAGUCGUAACAAGGUAGCCGUAUCGGAAGGUGCGGCUGGAUCACCU
rnacentral:rRNA from 1 species